UUUCCGUAGGUGAACCUGCGGAAGGAUCAUUACGGUGUUUGGGCCUCACGGAUCUUCAUUCCGACGCUGUGCGCCUUCGGGCUGCACGCUGAGGGAGCAUAUACCCACCUCUGUGCACACACACGGUGGCGAGCUGGGUAACGGCUUGCUGCUGUUCUUUACACACGUCUAAAAGUCAUUGUAUGUUUAUUUGUGAUAACAACACAACUUUCAGCAACGGAUCUCUUGGCUCUC
rnacentral:misc_RNA from 1 species